rnacentral:rRNA from 1 species
GAUUGUUCACCCACCAAUAGGGAACGUGAGCUGGGUUUAGACCGUCGUGAGAGAGGUUAGUUUUACCCUACUGAUGACUAUGUCGUAAUAGUAAUUCAACCUAGUACGAGAGGAACCGUUGAUUCGCACAAUUGGUCAUCGCGCUUGGUUGAAAAGCCAAUGGUGCGAAGCUACCGUGCGCUGGAUUAUGACUGAAUGCCUCUAAGUAAGAAUCUGAGCUAGAAGCGACGCAUGCGCCCGCCGCCCGCUUGCCGACCCGCAGUAGACGCCGUCCGUUGGUGAAGCCCACGCAGUAGACGAGCCGCGCGGGCAGCCUUGAAGUACAAUUCCUAUCUCGAGCGGCAGGUAGAAUCCUCUACAGACGACUUAAAUACGCAACGGGGUAUUGUAAGUGGCAGAGUGGCCUUGCUGCCACAAUCCACUGAGAU